GGUUAAGUGACUAAGCGUACACGGUGGAUGCCUAGGCAGUCAGAGGCGAUGAAGGGCGUGCUAAUCUGCGAAAAGCGCCGGUAAGGUGAUAUGAACCGUUAUAACCGGCGAUACCCGAAUGGGGAAACCCAGUGUGUUUCGACACACUAUCAUGUCAUGAAUACAUAGUGGCAUGAGGCGAACCGGGGGAACUGAAACAUCUAAG
rnacentral:rRNA from 1 species